UACGGGGGGAGCAAGCGUUGUUCGGAUUUACUGGGCGUAAAGGGCGCGUAGGCGGCGUGACAAGUCACUUGUGAAAUCUCCGGGCUUAACUCGGAACGGUCAAGUGAUACUGUCGGACUAGAGUACAGAAGGGGCAACUGGAAUUCUCGGUGUAGCGGUGAAAUGCGUAGAUAUCGAGAGGAACACCUGCGGCGAAGGCGGGUUGCUGGGCUGAUACUGACGCUGAGGCGCGAAAGCCAGGGGAGCGAACGGGG
rnacentral:rRNA from 1 species